rnacentral:rRNA from 1 species
GUUCGGAUUGUAGGCUGCAACCCGCCUGCAUGAAGUUGGAAUUGCUAGUAAUCGCGGAUCAGCAUGCCGCGGUGAAUACGUUCCCGGGGAUUGUACACACCGCCCGUCACACCAUGAGAGUCGGGAACACCCAAAGUCCGUAGUCUAACCGCAAGGAGGACGCGGCCUAAGGUGGGUUCGAUAAUUGGGGUGAAGUCGUAACAAGGUAUC